UACAGAGACUGCAAGCGUUAUUCGGAUUCACUGGGCGUAAAGGGUGCGCAGGCGGCCGUGUGUGUGAGGCGUGAAAGCCCGGGGCUCAACCCCGGAAUUGCACCUCAAACUACAUGGCUAGAGCAUUGGAGAGGGACGUGGAACUCCGGGAGUAGCGGUGAAAUGCGUAGAGACCCGGAGGAACACCAGUGGCGAAGGCGGCGUCCUGGCCUGCGACUGACGCUGUGGCGCGAAAGCUAGGGGAGCGAACGGG
rnacentral:rRNA from 1 species